ACUAGAAUGGCAGAUUUAUGUGGGUGGUUUAGGUCCACCAGAUUUAAUCUAGUU
rnacentral:tRNA from 1 species